UUCUUGUUCACGGUCUACAAUUUAACCUCAUUGGCCCAAAAGAAAAAAAAAAAAGCUUUACAGUGCAGACGGUGAGAGGGUACUAGACGGAUAAAUACCUCAAAUCUAUCGUGUGAGAGCACAGACUUGUACUUUUCUACUUCAAGAGUUUGCUUUGUGCACACAGGAGUCAUGGUCAGCAGAUUUGAACACCCAGCCGGCGGCUACAAGAAGAUCUUUGAGACUUGUGAGGAGCUUGCUGAGCCCCUUCCAGCAACAGUCAUAGGGAGGAUUCCUUCCUUUCUGAAAGGAAGUCUUCUGCGUUUGGGUCCGGGUCUUUUCGAGGUGGGAGAUGAGCCCUUCUACCACCUCUUUGACGGACAGGCGCUCAUGCACAAAUUUGACUUCAAGAAUGGCCAGGUCACCUACUUUCGCAAAUUUGUCAAAACCGACGCAUACGUACGAGCCAUCACAGAGAAGCGAGUAGUGAUCACAGAGUUUGGAACAUUUGCUUAUCCGGACCCCUGCAAGAACAUCUUCUCCAGGUUUUUCUCCUACUUUAAAGGUGUGGAGGUCACAGACAACUGCCUGGUCAAUGUCUACCCUGUGGGUGAGGACUUUUAUGCUGUGACAGAAACCAACUACAUCACCAAAGUGGACCCUGACACUUUGGACACGCUGAAGAAGGUGGACAUGUGCAACUACAUCAACAUCAACGGUGUGACGGCUCACCCCCACAUCGAGAGAGAUGGCACGGUGUACAACAUCGGAAACUGCAUGGGGAAAGGAGCCACGCUGGCUUAUAACAUUGUCAAGAUUCCACCCACACAGAAAGACAAGUCGGACCCCAUCGAGAAGUCCAAGGUGGUGGUUCAGUUUCCCAGUGCUGAGAGGUUCAAGCCCGCCUAUGUGCACAGCUUUGGCAUGUCAGAAAACUACUUUGUCUUCGUGGAGACGCCGGUGAAAAUCAACCUGCUAAAGUUCUUGAGUGCCUGGAGCAUCCGAGGCUCCAACUACAUGGACUGCUUUGAGUCCAACGAGAGCCAAGGAACAUUGUUCCACAUUGCCAAGAAGGACCCAGGAGAGUACAUUGACCACAAGUUCAAAGGGGCGCCCAUCGGCAUGUUCCACCACAUCAACACCUAUGAGGACAAUGGCUUUGUUGUGUUUGACCUGUGUGCAUGGAAGGGCUUUGAGUUUGUGUAUAAUUACCUCUGGCUGGCCAACCUGAGGGCCAACUGGGAGGAGGUGAAAAAGGCGGCUAUGAUAGCUCCCCAGCCAGAGGUCCGCAGAUACGUCAUUCCCUUGGAUGUCCACAAGGAAGAGCAAGGGAAGAACCUGGUCAGCUUGCCCUACACCACAGCUACAGCAGUGAUGCACGCUGAUGGGACCAUCUGGCUGGAGCCUGAGGUGCUGUUUGCUGGACCUCGCCAAGCUUUUGAGUUCCCGCAGAUCAACUAUGAAAAGUAUGCAGGGAAAAACUACACGUACGCCUAUGGCCUGGGACUCAACCACUUCAUUCCCGACAGGGUACAUAAAAUAUCUGCAAGUUGAACGUGAAGACCAAAGAGACCUGGGUUUGGCAAGAACCUGACUCCUACCCAUCAGAACCACUCUUUGUCCAAACCCCUGAUGGUGUAGAUGAGGAUGACGGUGUGUUGCUGACCAUCGUGGUGGCUCCCGGGUCCCAGAGACCAGGUUAUCUCCUCAUCCUCAACGCCAAGGAUCUGUCAGAGAUCGCCAGAGCAGAAGUGGAGUGCACCAUGCCUGUCACCUUCCACGGCAUGUACAAGCCCUAGUAGUGACUUCAGUAGCAAGAUAUUUGAAUAAAAAGAGCUCCAUUCCAAGGCUGAUUUCAUGUUCAUGUCGAUAUAUAAAGAAUAUGAAUCAA